ACAGCGGCGGACGGGUGAGUAAUACAUGGAUAAUCUGCCUUUAGGUCUGGGACAACCCAGGGCAAACUUGGGCUAAUACCGGAUAAGACCACAGAAUCUGCGGGUUCAGUGGUAAAAGGUGGCUCUCGGGCUAUUACCUAAAGAUGAGUCCAUGUCCCAUCAGGUUGUUGGUGAGGUAAAGGCUCACCAAGCCUAAGACGGGUAGCCGACCUUAGCGGGUGAUCGGCCACACGGGGACUGAGACACGGCCCCGACUCCUACGGGAGGCAGCGGUGGGGAAUAUUGGACAAUGGGCGCAAGCCUGAUCCAGCAGUACCGCGUGAGGGAUGA
rnacentral:rRNA from 1 species